UACGUAGGGACCAAGCGUUGUUCGGAUUUACUGGGCGUAAAGGGCGCGUAGGCGGCAAUUCAAGUCAGCUGUGAAAUCUCCGGGCUUAACUCGGAACGGUCAGCUGAUACUGCUUUGCUAGAGUGCAGAAGGGGCAAUCGGAAUUCUUGGUGUAGCGGUGAAAUGCGUAGAUAUCAAGAGGAACACCUGAGGUGAAGACGGGUUGCUGGGCUGACACUGACGCUGAGGCGCGAAAGCUAGGGUAGCAAACGGGG
rnacentral:rRNA from 1 species